AUGCAUAUAAAGGAAAUAAUAUUUCCUUAUUUAAAAUUGGCGCCCAUUCAUAGUGGCAAAAAUUAAUUGUGCCACAAUUUGACAAACAUCAAGAGGAGAAGCCGAAGGAGUUUUAUCUGUGACAACUGACAAGCAUUACCGAGCAAGUUUUCAUAUUUUUCAAGAGUUUUCAUAUUUUAAGAUUAAUAGUAAAAAAUAGUUUAGAAUAAACUUUAAUUGUCGUUUUUCUUAUUUCAGAACAACACAACGUUUAUUCUAAUUUCAAAAACAAAUUGUAAUAAAAACGUAUUACAAAACGACAAUUUGUUUAUAAAAAACAAUGGAAAAACUUCAAUUCGAAUUUACUUUGUUGCCUAGUAGUGAUGGAAAAUCUAAUAUUUUAUGUAUAACCUCAAUUGGCACACCGGACAGCAAAGUAUAUGCUAUACCAGAAGAAUUACAAGGAGUUAGUCAUCAUAAGACCUUAUGUUCUACUACAUCCUUUACUAAAGUAAAAAAUAGCUUAAAGAAACGAUACCAAAAAAGAAGAAUAUGGAUAACCUUGUCAAAAGAACUGUCCGAAACUUAUCUAGAUGCAGAUAAUAAUAUUCAAUUUAAUGACCAGUAUUUGGAGGAAAUAAGUAUAGAGAAAUCCCUUACUGGUAAUACAUUGCCAACGGAAACAGAAAGAUUAGAAAAAAUAUUUGUGAGGUUCCUGGAAAAUACUCAAACUAGCAGCAAUAAGCAACAGAAUUUGAAAAAUAUAGCAGAAAAAUUUGUGAUAGAAAAAUUUACAACAAGAAAUCCAAAUGCAAGUCAAUGGAUUGAGAUGUUUGAGAAAGAGUGCAUUCGAUGUGAUGUCACAACCGAUGAAAGUAAAAUUGAAGUACUCCGAUUAUUUUUGGACAAAAGUUGUUUAGACUGGUACAAUUCAAUGAUUAUAAAAUUAUCAAUGAAUUCAGAUUGGUCGCAAUGGAAAGAUAAGUUUUGUCAUUCAUUUAUCAAUAAAGGUUGGAAUCCAGUGAUAUAUGCAUUAUCUUUUAAAUAUAAAGAGGGUUUACUAGUGGAUUAUGCAAUGAGAAAGGAGAAACUAUUAUUGGAGAUGAGAAAAUCAAUAGAUACAGAUACUUUAAUUGAUAUCAUUGCGGCUGGUUUACCAGAAUUCAUAUUAAACAAGAUUGACAGGGAAUCCUAAAAAGACACAGUAGAUUUAUUUAACGAACUCGGUAAAUAUGAACACCUGAUGAACAGAAGAAGUAGGAUAACUCCAAGGAAAUAUGAAAACCAGAAGUAUGUGAGUAAAAAUGAAGAGAAAAGUCCAUGUAAAAUAUGUGACAAGUUAAAUAAAGGUACCCGUUACCAUCCGGAAGCUACUUGCUGGUUUCGGUCAAAUGAAAAUGGACAAGUUAAAAAAAGGGACUAUAAACAUGUUAACAACUCUGUGAUUGAAGCUGAAUUGAUAACUGACCAAAAAAACGAGUUGUAACACCAUUAAUAUACGUCAAGCUACAAUUGGAUGAUAAACUUGAACUAUAUGGAGUGUAUGACUCUGGUUCAAAUGUUUCAUUAAUAAAUUCAAGAUUCCU